rnacentral:rRNA from 1 species
UACGUAGGGGGCAAGCGUUGUCCGGAUUUAUUGGGCGUAAAGAGCGUGUAGGCGGCCUGACAGGUCUGCUGUGAAAACUCGAGGCUCAACCUCGAGAUGUCGGCGGAAACCGUCUGGCUAGAGUCCGGAAGAGGAGAGUGGAAUUCCUGGUGUAGCGGUGGAAUGCGCAGAUAUCAGGAGGAACACCAAUGGCGAAGGCAGCUCUCUGGUACGUGACUGACACUGAGACGCGAAAGCGUGGGGAGCGAACAGG